rnacentral:rRNA from 1 species
UACGUAGGGGGCGAGCGUUGUUCGGAAUUAUUGGGCGUAAAGGGCGCGUAGGCGGUUGUGAUAGUCAGAUGUGAAAUCCUCCGGCUUAACUGGAGAACUGCAUCUGAAACUUCAUAGCUAGAGUACAGGAGAGGGAAACGGAAUUCCCGGUGUAGAGGUGGAAUUCGUAGAUAUCGGGAGGAACACCAGUGGCGAAGGCGGUUUCCUGGCCUGAUACUGACGCUGAGGCGCGAAAGCGUGGGGAGCAAACAGGAUUAGAUACCCCCGUAGUCCCUGAG